AGCAGUCGCCGCGGUAAUACGUAGGUGGCAAGCGUUGUCCGGAAUUAUUGGGCGUAAAGCGCGCGCAGGUGGUUUAUAAGUCUGAUGUGAAAGCCCACGGCUCAACCGUGGAGGGUCAUUGGAAACUGUUAAACUUGAGUGCAGGAGAGAAAAGUGGAAUUCCUAGUGUAGCGGUGAAAUGCGUAGAGAUUAGGAGGAACACCAGUGGCGAAGGCGGCUUUUUGGCCUGUAACUGACACUGAGGCGCGAAAGCGUGGGGAGCAAACAGGAUUAGAUACCCCUGUAGUCCCUGUCUCUUAUACC
rnacentral:rRNA from 1 species